rnacentral:rRNA from 1 species
GGACCUGACUGCUAUCGGAUUGAUACUAAGCCAUGCGAGUCAUUGUAGCAAUACAAGGCAUACGGCUCAGUAACGCGUAGUCAACCUAACCUAUGGACGGGAAUAACCUCGGGAAACUGAGGAUAAUACCCGAUAGAACAUUAUACCUGGAAUGGUUUAUGUUCCAAAUGAUUUAUCGCCGUAGGAUGGGACUGCGGCCUAUCAGUUUGUUGGUGAGGUAAUGGCCCACCAAGACUAUUACAGGUACGGGCUCUGAGAGGAGUAGCCCGGAGAUGGGUACUGAGACACGGACCCAGGCCCUAUGGGGCGCAGCAGGCGAGAAAACUUUGCAAUGUGCGAAAGCACGACAAGGUUAAUCCGAGUGAUUUCUGCUAAAGAAAUCUUUUGUUAGUCCUAGAAACACUAACGAAUAAGGGGUGGGCAAGUUCUGGUGU